CUGCAUCAAUAUUUCUCCAUGCUUCCAUCAUUACUGUUUUUAGUUCAGUUUUCGUUUUAGUGUUGUGUCUUCGUACUCUAACUUGUAAUUCUGCCCCAAUGUGUUCUGUUGGGUUUAAAUGAGGUGGUGUUUACAGAACUUGUGGAUAAACAUAUCAAAGGUGUAUGUUGAGGGCCAUGUGCUGAUAAAAAAUAAAGUUUGGGACAGGAAAUAUGCCUAUUGGAACCAAAAAGGUUAAAUUUGCUUUCAUAUGCAAAUAUGGCGUGAUUCCAAUACAAAUUAUUUACGAUUUAUUUUGAGAAGAAAAGUGUAAGCUUUUUGUACUUCUAAAAAAUUCUCUUCGAGAGAAGAGUGCUUAUGAAAUCCAGCUGAUCUGAGUACUUGUCGAAAAGCUUUAAGCGAAACUGAAGUGAGAAAUUUUUCAGUAAAUUCUGUAGAAAUCUGUACAACACUCAAAUGUGGAUUUUUUACAGAUUUUCUGUCUAAAUCUCUGAUUAUGUCGAGUCAGGUCUAGUCCUCUUUAUCAGACAACCUCUUCUUACUUUAUUUUGGAUCUGAUUGUCUUCUUUAAAGUAUUUUAUCGCAUACUACACUGUAAUAAAUUUACUAAUUUAGCGAUAUCCUGAAUCAAAUUUCCAUCCUUAUCAUAAGAAAUGAUUUAAUUUUUGAAUGCUGUUUGUUGUUUCUUUAUGACUAUGAGCCAUUUUUAAACAUUAAAUAAAAUAUGAUAAAGUGAGCAAGAAAAAUAAAGCCAAACAAUUUUUUGUCAUCAAAAUGCAAAAAUAAAAAAGUGGCAGAAGAUAAUUUUAUUUAUGAAUUUUUGCAAAACUGCCAUGGUCUACGGUCACUUUCGCACUGUGUUUUAUCUAUGCCCCCUUAUAUUUUCAAUUUUAGAAAAAGAAAAUAAUUCAGUAUAAAAAAUUUUAAAAGUCUGGUUUUAUUCAAAAUCGUAUGGAGAUGAUAUGAAAAAAUAUUGGGCUUUAUAUUUGUACUCAAUUCUGGGUUAGAGUUUUUUCUACAAAUUCUCUAAAGUGUACGAACACUUUGGAGAGAUGCUGUAAUCCAAGUCAUUUAAAAAUACUAGGGUUUAAUGAAAUGGUGAAAUAAAAAGCAUCCUUCCAACUGUGUGGUGCUACUUAAGUGUGUAUUUAAGGGAAUUUAUGUUGUACUUAGUUCACAAAGAUACUUUUUUGUUGCUCUUUGAAAUGUGUUCAGGGAGAUUUUAGCCUCUGGAACGAUAGAUAUAUGGUGUUAAGUUUCAGUGAACUUGUUUGCCAUAUAGUUUCUAUAUAUCUAUCAUUAAGUUUCAAAGCUCAAAUGUCGGUAUUUAUCACCAUUUUCAAUACUUUUUUUGUUCAAUUUAUAAAGCAUGUUAGAAAGUAAUCUUAAUCUAUAUAUUUUUUUCAAGUUUAGAAAGGAAGGAAUGAGCAGUGUUGAAAGAGGUGCAUGGGGCAAAAAAUGGUUAAGAACCUAACUCAGUGUGUCUUUGUCUGACACUUUUGGAAGAUUAAAAGCUGGGCAGUAUUUGCUAUCAGUUGAUCAUGUUUAAUAAAAAUUUUACCAACAUACUUCUUGCUGCUUAUUAGAAAAUUUCUUUCAGAGUGUACAGGCAUUUAUGAACAACUGAUGCAUUAUUUUUUACUUCAAAUUAGCUUGACCUAGGGCUUUUUUUUUUUCUCUGAAAACUUUAAAUAGUGACAAGAGAACUUCUGUUCUUUAAAAAAGUUCUGAAUAAUAUGUUUUAUAUGCUGAUAUCUUUUUUAGCGAUAUGACUUUUUAAUGCCAUCUGACAGCUGUUACCUAGAUCAAGAAUAGGGCUGAUUCUUCCACAGGCACUGAGAACGAGUUGGAAUAUUCGUGGGAUCAAGUACUGAUGUUCUGAAUUUUAGGUUGGAAUAAAAAUUGAUUGCAUCAAAAUUGUUUCUGCAACUUGUUCCGAACAAGGCCAAGAUGUGAUGUGUAAAUGUGAAGAAGUGUACAGCAGUUGUGUGUUGUACUGUAUAUUAUGUAUUUUUACCAGCCAAUUGAAAUUAAAUUAUUAAUGGUCACUUAACUAAGAAGAUGUAAUUUUUUUUAUGAAGAGUUGCUUUAAAAAAACGAAAGAAAAAUCUCUAUAUUAGCAGUAUUUAAAUAUUCCAUUUGAUUAUUUAAUUUUGUGUAAAACUGUUUUUUUAAACUAAAAGAAGAAGGGAAUCAAAUAAACUGUAUUCUGAUGUGCCUAAUGAAUUGAUAGUUGCAUUCAUAAUAAAUAAGACUAACAGUAGCAAAGUAACAAAAUAUUGGUACCUUAUUCUGUUCCUGGUGAUACUGUCUGUAUGAGGUUUUUGCAGUUUUUCUGAUGAACCUAUAAACAUUGGAUAUGCUAUCUUUAGAAAAAUAUUUGGUCAUUUGAAAUUGUUAUUCUAAGCCUUUCUGAAAAUGUUUAUUGAAAUUUGUUUUAAUAGUUAAUUUUUAUAAAGCAUUUGUAUGUUGAUAGUUACAGAUGUUAAAUUUUUUAAAAGCAUGAACACGGGAUAUUUGGGAAAAACGUGGUUUCCUUAAAUAUUAAUUCACGAGUGGAGAUAUAAUUACACUAAUUAAGGAAAUACAAUUAAUUAUAUUUCCUUAAAUAUUCUCUACUUCACUAGAGAAUUUUAUGGAAACUGUCUCAGCACUGGAGGUUAGAAAACUCACAAAAAAGCUGGUGCUCUUUAUACAGUUCUCAUUAAUUAUUAUUCAAGGAAAUAAAACAUGUUGCCACAUUUUUAAGUGUCCUGUACAUACAUAAAAUAAUGUGUACUUUAGUAUUUUGUGUAAGGAAAAGUUUCUUACAAUAACUCCCUAAAAUAUGUUUUUGAUUCUAUGAUUUUUUCUAACUCAAAAUUUGCAUUGUUAGAUUUUUAUUUAAGGAAAAUAUGUUACAUGUUGUCAAUUAAAAAUUUUAUUUCUUGUGGAGAAAAUGAUAGAUUUUGUUAACAGUUUUGCAUAUAUGUGAAAUGAUUUUUAUUAGUAUGCUUUUUUUACAUAUAUUGCAGUUUUUGAGUCGUACUAGUGUUUGUGAUUCGAUUCCUUUGUUGUAUUGAGAUUUAUUUUCUGUGAUAUUUAAGUUGUGUUGUUAAUCUAGUUAUUAAUACUUUAAUGGUAUAUAGAUAUGUAAGUUUCUCGGUGAUUUGUCUUCAGCGUGGAGUUUUCCCUCUUUCUUUUCUUUCUGAUUUGUUUCAACAAUUUUGAUAGUUUUGUAGGAAAAGAGAAUUUGCAGAUAGCAUGUUUGAAUCGAUGUGGUGCUAAGUCAAGACUUACUUACCUUUAAACUUAAGGUGUAGAUUCAACUCCAGUAUAAAUUGUAGCUUUUCUUAUGGGUGUGAUAUAGUUUUCAUUUUUGUGAUCUGCUUUGGGCAAUGUUCUGAGUGGUAAAGAUAGCUGCAAUUUCUAAUGAAUGCUUAAUCAGCUGUUGUCUAACACUUUGAUCUCAAAAAGGAAAAAAAAAAAAUUUCUUUCUUUAAUUUUUUCUGUAUUGAUUUAUUUUAUUCUUGAAACUAGCAGUUCAAUGUUUUUUAUUGCAACAUACAGAGAAUAAUUGCUGCCUAUGCUUAUAGCUCAAAUUUUAGGAAUGCCCUAAUCUUCCUAUAAUUCAUGUGAAAGAAUGCUAUGCCUAGGACUGCAUUUAAUCAAGGCCUGAUUAUUUGGCCCAAAGAAACAGUAAAAAUUAGCUCAUGUCUCAGUGAAGAGCAGCCAUUCGUAAUUAUGUAUAUAUAGAUAAUCAUUCUUAAGAAAAACUAGUCACGAGCAAAACUGCAGCUAAAUGUGCUUGUAUUUCAAUUGCAAGGAGAUCAGAUUAGGAGGAUGAAAGAAGAGAAAUCCAGCAUUUAAUUUCCAGCUGAUUGAAGGAGCAGGACAUGCAUGAAAACUCCUGUAGAACUAUAUAAAGUAGUGUAAUUUUUUAGUACGUGAUUUUAGCUUUUUGUUUUUCUAUUUGUGAGUAUCCUUUCAUGAAAGAUAUCUUGAUAUCUUCAUGACGGGUAAUUAUAGUAUAAAGGACUUCUUUUAUAUGUUUUCUGUAAAGAAAAUUUUUAAAAGAAAUGUCCCAAAUUAAGUAGUAAAGUUUAAAAUUACUUUUAUUUUUGUGGUUUAUUCCAGAAAUGUUCUAAUGACAAAAAAAUAAUGAUUGAAAUGGUAUACAGAAUCCUGAAAAUGUAAUUUUAAGUGGAAUCUGAGUUACUUUACGUCUGUUUAUCACUGUUUUCAAAAUGGGAAAUUUUAAUUAGUCACAUUUUGCUGCAUGUUGAGAUAAAUUUCACUUAACCAUCUUUUUCCAACAAACAUUGUGAUCAGAAUUGGUAAGUAGUUAUAUGAUGAUUGAAGGUGUUCUAUGAAAAAAAGAAAUGACAUAUCAAAAACUGUUGAUACAUUUUAAAUAGUUUGUGGUAAGCAUGGAAAUUAAUUUUUGUCAACAUAAAGGUAGAUUGAUAUAUCAUUUACAGUUUUUUAGUUUCAAUAAUCUACUGGGCUACAAUGCUUGUUACUGAAAAAAUUAGUUUUAUGUCAUUUUUAAUAGUAAUGUAUUUAAAGCACAUUUCUGUUAAAUAUUUGAUAUUGCAAUCAUUUUAUUACCUGUUUGGUGUAUAUCAUAUGAAGUAGUGAGCAUAAAGUUCCCACACUGUUUUCAAAUACAUAUAGGCAGGAACAUAUUGACAUGUUGUUGAUGUGAUUUUCCAAUGUUCUUUUCAGCAUAAUUUGUUUUCCUUUUUUUUUUUGCAUUUAGCACAUCUCUUUUUAUUAUCUAUUGUUAAUGGUGUAUUAUAACUGGUAACUAAUCUGUAGAUAUCCUUUACAAAGUUAGGGAAUUUGCUUCUUCAUUUAAUAAAUACAUAUCUCGGUACUUUUCUGUUAACAGAGUGCCACGUACUGAACAUAAAAUGUCGGCACAAAAUCUAAUUAUAUGGUGACAACUCUGAUGAUACACAGAGCUCAGUGGAAAAGACAGCUAUUUUGUUAAAGUCCAGAAUAAAAACAAAUGCAAAAUAUAUUUAAUUAGAUAAUUUCAGAAUAUGCAGGAGGCAUAAAACUGCCUAUUUCAUUGCUGAAAACAUUAGCAUCUUUUUGUGCUACAUGAAUUUAAUGAGGUAAAAAUCUAUAUGGUGGCAGCUGGUGGUGUUUAUUUCACUCUGCAGUGAUGUUUUAUUUUGCCUUUUUGCACAUAGUAUUCUAUAUUAAGAUCAGUAACAUUGUAUUUGUGUUUGCAGGCACUUGUAUCCUGCAAUUGCCUGUAUAUCUGUUUGUGAAAUCAUCUGAAAAUGUAGGAGAAAAUAAUUCCUGAAUUUAUGCUCAUACUUUCCACUUUUUCUCUGCAAUAUCUUUCUACACAUCUAUUCAUGAUAUGGUAUAAAUAGGCUACCACAUUUGGUGACUGGCACCCAGUUAACAGAAAAGUACUUAUAUCUUUUUUCGUAUGGAAUCAUGUUGAUAUAGUAUAUGCAACUCAGUGUAAAAGUAACUAGAUUAUUCUUCCUAUGAUGUAAGUGUGCAUGAUACUUUUGAUUACAUUUUCAUUCAUAAAGUGAAUUGUAUUGGUCUAUAUCGGUGCCUUUUUAUAAUACGUACAAUAUUUCAGCAUUCUGUUUUUAAAUGCUUCUGUAAUAUGCAAUUUAUUUCUAAUAGAUUCACAUUAUGUAUAUAUUUUUUUUAUUGUUUAGUUUUUGCUUUUAUUAUAAGUUCCAUUUUAAAUGCAGUUUUAGAUUGGAAGUACAAAUUUUAGAGUAAGUGAACUAGGUAACUAUAA